AUUGAACGCUGGCGGCAUGCCUUACACAUGCAAGUCGAACGGCAGCACGGGUGCUUGCACCUGGUGGCGAGUGGCGAACGGGUGAGUAAUACAUCGGAACAUGUCCUGUAGUGGGGGAUAGCCCGGCGAAAGCCGGAUUAAUACCGCAUACGAUCUACGGAUGAAAGCGGGGGACCUUCGGGCCUCGCGCUAUAGGGUUGGCCGAUGGCUGAUUAGCUAGUUGGUGGGGUAAAGGCCUACCAAGGCGACGAUCAGUAGCUGGUCUGAGAGGACGACCAGCCACACUGGGACUGGGACACGGCCCAGACUCCUACGGGAGGCAGCAGUGGGGAAUUUUGGACAAUGGGCGAAAGCCUGAUCCAGCAAUGCCGCGUGUGUGAAGAAGGCCUUCGGGUUGUAAAGCACGUUUGUCCGGAAAGAAAUCCUUGGCCCUAAUACGGUCGGGGGAUGACGGUACCGGAAGAAUAAGCGCCGGCUAACUACGUGC
rnacentral:rRNA from 1 species